rnacentral:tRNA from 1 species
GCCCCUAUGGCGUAGUGGUAGCGCGUGUCACUUGUACUUCAUCACAAGAUCAUGACAAGGUCUCUCGUUCGAUCCGGGAUGGGGGCA